rnacentral:lncRNA from 1 species
UCUCGUUUGGGCUUCCAGAGCCAUUACUUUCGUCUCGUUCAGGCUUCCAGAGCCAUCACUGUCGUCUCAUUUAGGCUUCCAGAGCCAUCACUAUCGUCUCAUUCAGGCUUCCAGAGCCAUCACUAUCGUCUCGUUUGGGCUUCCAGAGCCAUCACUGUCGUCUCAUUCAGGCUUCCAGAGCCAUCACUAUCGUCUCGUUCGGGCUUCCAGAGCCAUCAC